rnacentral:ncRNA from 1 species
AACCGAUUUGGUCCUAGUCCUUUCAUUGGCUUAUUCUACAAUGAUACAUGCAAGUCUCAUGACAACCCUGUGAGUACUAUAAAAACAACUCUUCUUUUAAAGAAUGUUUUAACAAAAUAUCAGGCAUAACCUUAUACCCCCAACAUUUAGACACCCCACACCUGCAGUACUUAACAUUAUAAUAUAGGCGAAAGCCUGAUAUAGUGAUAGAAACAAGAAUCGGUAAAUUAUGUGCCAGCCACCGCGGUUAUACAUAAAAUUCAAGUCAACAUACAACGGUAUAAACAGUGGUUAAACAUUGAUCAAACCCUUAGGAUAUAAAACAACUCAAGCAGUAACAAGCUAACAGACUACUAAUCCCAAUCACCCCAACACAAUCCUAACCCAUUGAACCCACUAAAGCUCAAAAAUAAACUGGGAUUAGAUACCCCACUAUAUGAGCCCUAAAACUACCAAACACCAAAGAACUACGAACUAAAAUUUAAAACUCAAAGGACUUGGCGGUCUUUUAGACCUUCCUGGAGGAGCUUGCUAUCAAACCGAUAAUCCUCGUCACACCUUACCAACUUUUGAACACCCAGCCUGUAUACCAUCGUCGUCAGCCUACCUCUCAAGAGAAGUACACAAAAAGAACUCUUCUUCCCUACGUCAGAUCGAGGUGCAGCUAAUAAGUUGGGGAUUAGUGAGCUACAAUAUUACAACAAAUCAAACCAAAAAAGAUUAUGAAUAGACCUUCUAAAACAGUCCUGAAACAGGAUUCAGAAGUAAUAGUUACCAGAAAAUAACUAUGAACUUAAAGCUCUAAAAUGCGCACACAUCGCCCGUCACUCUCGUCGUUAGAGGAGAAAAGUCGUAACAAAGUAGGCGUAUUGGAAAAUGUGCCUGGAACCAC